rnacentral:tRNA from 1 species
GGGGCCAUAGCUCAGUUGGGAGAGCGCCGGCUUUGCAAGCCGGAGGUCGCGGGUUCGAGUCCCGCUGGCUCCA